CCUACCUGCUGCUUGGUGAUGAACGCCUGGACGAACUUCUGCAGGACGCCGCAGUAGUUGGUGUAGGCGCCCCGUCCAGCGCUCAGGGUCGCAUCUCUCUGUCAGCCAGGAAGUCAACCAGGAACACAACCAGGAACACAACCAGGAACACAACCAGGAACACAACCAGGAACACAACCAGGAACACAACCAGGAACACAACCAUGAACACAACCAUGAACACAACCAGGAACACAACCAGGAACACAACCAUGAACACAACCAGGAACACAACCAGGAACACAACCAGGAACACAACCAGGAACACAACCAUGAACACAACCAGGAACACAACCAGGAACACAACCAUGAACACAACCAGGAACACAACCAGGAACACAACCAGGAACACAACCAUGAACACAACCAGGAACACAACCAUGUACACAACCAUGUACCCAACCAUGAACACAACCAUGAACCCAACCAGGAACACAACCAUGAACACAACCAGGAACACACCCAUGUACACAAUCAGGAACACACCCAUGUACACAACCAUGAACACACCCAUGUACACAACCAUGAACACACCCAUGUACACAACCAGGAACACACCCAUGAACACAACCAGGAACACAACCAGGAACACAACCAGGAACACACCCAUGAACACAACCAUAUGCAAAGAACGUCUUGCAGUCACGUUUUGUUUUCUAUGAAUAGCUUUACUGUACCGACAGGUAUGUUGUUUCUUCUGACCUAUGUACACAUUGUAAGUGGCUUCGGGUAGAAAAGUCUGCUAAAAGCCCUGAAUGUAAAUGUUCUUUGUUUGUAUAUGCAGAAGAUAUAGACGAUAAAUGAUAGACAAAAUACGAUUGCUUUUACAUUGACAUUAACAUUUGCAUUUAGGGCAUUUAGCAGACGCUUUUAUCCAAAACGACUUACAAUAAGUAAAUAAGUGCCAUGCCCUUACAGUUGCUAGUUUAACCCAUUCUCCGUAUACAACAAAGAUAGCUAGGGUGAGACACUACACAAUGAAAAGUACUAUUAUUAAGUGGCAGGACGUACAACAUACAAUGAGUGCGAACAUUAAGUAACAGUUUUCCAUUACAUAACCGCUCGCUUUUAUUUUAAGUGUUUAUUCGCACUCUGAAAUGAGCAAAACGUAACGUACAAACAACGCUAAGCCGUUGCGUGUUGUUGAUGAGCUCGCUGUUGGCCCACCUCUUUGUGGAUGAACUUGAGGUUGAGGUGGCAGCGCCCGCGGUCGGGGUACGUCUCAGUCCGGGGCUCCAGCUCGUACCAGCUGUCCUCUGUGCAUCGGAGGUCCUGGGUGUGGGGAGAGGAGAUCUUAACAACGGUGGUUUGAUAAGCAACGUGUGACGGAUGGAGGAACAACGAGGUCGAUAGGAAGAUUUACCCGAAGCUUUAAGACAAUGAAUCCCAGAAAGUCGUCUGCCCCCUUUUCCUUUUUGGCGUCUUUGAUCAUCCUAUGGAGACAGCAGUAGGAUUGGUCUUGUCUUCAUGUCUUAAUGUAAAGGCUUAAUGUAAAGGUAAGGGCAUCCCUUAAUGUUAAGGCUUAAUGUAAAGGUAAAGGCAUCCCUUAAUGUUAAGGCUUAAUGUAAAGGUAAAGGCAUCCCUUAAUUCAAUUUCAAAGUGUUUAUUGUCAUAUGCAUAAAUGAUAUACAUAAAUUUAAUGUAAAGGCUUAAUGUAAAGGUAAGGGCAUCAAUUAAUGUAAAGGCUUAAUGUAAAGACCUCCCUUAAGGAGAGGGUCUCAGAGAAGUCCUCCUACCUUCUCAGACUGUUGAAGUUGGUCUUGAGGUCCUCCUACCUUCUCAGACUGUUGAAGAUGCUCUUGAGGUCCUCCUACCUUCCCAGGCUGUUGAAGUUGGUUUUGAGGUCCUCCUACCUUCUCAGACUGUUGAAGUUGGUCUUGAGGUCCUCCUACCUUCUCAGACUGUUGAAGUUGGUCUUGAGGUCCUCUAGUUUCUGGGCCAGAGACAGCUGCUCAUCUCUGUCCCUGAAGGAGUAAACAGAGCCAGUGAGGAGGUGUGGAGGAGAGGGGAGAAGAGCUGCUGAUGAUGGGAACAACGAGAAAAACCGCACUCUGAAAGAUCGUCUCACCACAUCUCUAAGUGGAAACUCGCUCCUUCGGUGUCCUCAAACUCACUGGAGACAGGAACAACACAACCACAAGAACACACUGUUAAAGGGAUGACUGCUGCAACCAAACAGACACACGCGACACACACACGCGCACACACACACACGCGCACACACACACACAUACACACAUCCACUCACACUCGCACACACACGCCCUCACAGUAUGAAGAUCUCGUUCCAGACAGGGUUGAGGGUCUGCCACUUGAUUUCCGUUCUGUAGAUGCUCUCGUCCGCCGCGGCGUCCUUCACCACCGACUUGCGGGGUUUGGCCCUGGAGCUCCGAGCGCGACUCUCCUUCUCAUCCUCCAGGAUGGUCAGCAGGCAGUAGGGGUCGCUGAACCCUGGGACACACACACACACACACACACACACACGCAGUAACGCACACGCACCCGGCAAGCAUACAAACACGAGCGCACACAUGAAUGCGCACGCACACGCACACAAACACACGCACGCAUGCACGUACACUCACAGGCACACGCACGCACACAAACACGUGCGCACAUACACUCACACAAACACAAACACACACACAGGCAUGCAUGCACACAUGCACACACACGCACGGACACGAAUACACACACACCAGGAGGUCUUAGGUCAGGUGAAGGUGACUGUAAUAUUUUGAAUACAACCGGUUGAGGUACUCACCACUGAUGUCUUUUCCCAGAAUCCCCUUGGCCUCCUUCACCGUGGCCAUCAGACAGUACACAGGGG
ensembl:lncRNA